CUAAUGAUUUAUUCUAUGAGACAAAGGCUGUGACAGUUGGAGAUCAUGUGAAGUUAAACUGUUCACGCGGGUCUGCAGGAGAGCUUGUAUGGAUGAGAAUAGUUUCUGAUAAUCCUCCAGAAAAUCUAACUCAAAAUAAGACUCCUAAUGUUAAAGUUAAUCCAGAACCUGGAUCGCUUGAACUGAAAAUAACAGAAGCAAAGCUGAAUGAUACUGCACUUUACAUUUGUAUGAGGAUAAAAGAUGAACAUCUUCUGUCUUUCAAUGUGACAUACUUGAGAGUUGAAGAACUUGCUGUGACGGAGGCCCCUCCAUCUACUCCAUCUAUUCCUGUUUGCCCAAGAGACUCGCUGACUUUGCAAUGUUCAGUUCUUCACAAAUCCUUAAGGAAUUCAUGUCCAUCCAAUGAAAGCGCGUUCUGUUUCAGUGUUGAUUUUAGUGAGCCUGACCCAAAUAACACUAAAAAUAACAGAGCAAAUGAAGAGGAGAACACCUUUGAGGGAAAUGUCAUAACAAAAUGUGCGUCCUUUUCAAACAACUUUAUUUCUUCUGAUGGUUGGACAUAUUUCUGUGCAGUUCCCAAAUGUAAAGACAAAACACCAGUGGAAACAUCUCAAAUCAACACUGGAGCAAACAUUUGGACUUCAAGGAUGCAAGAAGUUGCCAUAAAAUGUUUAACUGCUGCUUUGUUCGUCAGUCACAUAAUUAUAGUUUUCUUAAUUUAUUUAGUCAAGAAGCUGAAAAAAUAAUUGAAGGCCCUUCUAAUGACAGAAACAUCAACCGGAGGUGAUUAGAUCAGACAGCAGAUGACCAAAAAGCAAACAAAGCAAAAGUCUGAUUUAUUUAAAUAUAUUUUUAGAUUUAUGUUUAAAUAUUUUGCUCUAUUCAGAUAAAUUGAGACAUGUUGGUUUAUGUGGGGCCAGUUUUUACUGCAGACAAGUCACCAACACACACAAAUGUCAGUAAAUCAAAACAACUUAAAACUCACACACACAAAUAAUAAAGUUUAACAAAACGAUAUGAACAUAUUUUGAGAAAAAUGUAAGUGAAAUCGGGCUGUCAAAAAAUGUAACCCCCUAAUGCUAAAUAACCUAUAAACUCUGCAAAUAUUUUUUGGAUAUAACCACAAGACAGAUAAGACCAGGUGCCGGAACUCAUCUGUUAUUUGAGAUAAUAAAUUGUUGGCUUUUUUAUCCAAACAACUCAGUUGUGCUUUUCAGUUAAAAUAGUUUUGCAUCUACAGGUUACAGGCAUCUUGAGAUCAAAGC